CACGCUAAAAAUAGUGCCCGUGCUGGUGCAGGAAGGAAGGGGAGCUGGCUCCCCGCGUCCCCGCCUUCUGGAAGGCAACUGGCAAGCUCUCCAUCGGGGCUCCUGGAUGUGUUCUUCCGCGUGGCCUGGACACCCCGAGGCGUCCAGCCCGGGGCAGUCCUGGAAAGGGCGGUUCUUGAAGCCAGCAGGCCACGGACAGGAGCAUUGUUGACCACAGCUGUCUGGGAAAUGGUCCACUUCAGGAGAACAGCUAAAUAAAUCAUGGCAGAGUCCCCUGGUGGAAGAAAUAUAUCCAGGGGGAGAAGAGAGGCCCCGUCUCCGUGCACCCCAAAUGAAGCCUGAGGCUAGGGCAUCAGUCGGAAGCCUCUUUCUAGCCUCUGAUUUGAGACGCGUCUUUAUCAGGAAAUAAACUCCAUGUUCAUGUG